rnacentral:rRNA from 1 species
UACAGAGGUCCCAAGCGUUGUUCGGAUUUACUGGGCGUAAAGGGCGCGUAGGCGGCCUCUGCAAGUCGACUGUGAAAUCUCCGGGCUUAACCCGGAAAGGUCAGCCGAUACUGCAGGGCUAGAGUGCAGGAGGGGCAACUGGAAUUCUCGGUGUAGCGGUGAAAUGCGUAGAUAUCGAGAGGAACACCUGCGGCGAAGGCGGGUUGCUGGGCUGACACUGACGCUGAGGCGCGAAAGCUAGGGGAGCGAACGGG